UACGUAGGGGGCAAGCGUUGUCCGGAUUUAUUGGGCGUAAAGAGCGUGUAGGCGGCCAUGCAGGUCCGUUGUGAAAACUCGAGGCUCAACCUCGAGACGCCGGUGGAAACCGCAUGGCUAGAGUCCGGAAGAGGAGAGUGGAAUCCCUGGUGUAGCGGUGAAAUGCGCAGAUAUCAGGAAGAACACCCGUGGCGAAGGCGGCUCUCUGGGACGUGACUGACGCUGAGACGCGAAAGCGUGGGGAGCAAACAGG
rnacentral:rRNA from 1 species